rnacentral:piRNA from 1 species
GUUCAUGUUUGGUGGUGAUAUUUUCUGAGC